rnacentral:lncRNA from 1 species
GAGAAGGUGUCCAUUUCUCUGUCCCAGCUGCUGCUCCUUAGAACUUCCCAGAGAGAUGCUGGGUUCCAUUUCCCAAGGAACCCCUAGUUUUAUUCUCAAAAUCCUGUCUGGGGCAUAGGGGAAGAGGAAGCUGGGGCUCAGCAGGCUGAGGAUGGAGUCCAUAAUCUACAAAAUCUUCCUGCAGGCCUUCAGAGAGCACACCCUCAUGGAGGAGAGGCCUGUGCUGGGAGAUGCAAUGGGAAAGCAAAAGAGCCUACUAAACCCCAGCACUCAGUUGUGGAUAUUGAAGGAAACUCUUCACAAGGAAAAUCAUCUUCAACAGGUGCUCUGGAGUGAGCAGGAUCAAACAAGGACUUCAGAAGCAGGAAGACUGAAGAUCAAGCUGGGAAACCUCAGUUAGAUAAUAACCUGUCUGAACGACCACUUUCCCUUUGCCAGUGGGACACUUACUUCAUAGAGCUGUUCUGUUAUUCCAAGAGAAUAAGAUAAUCAAGUGACUUUCCAAGAGUCCCGAUGCAUGCCAAAUGUCCAAUAGGUAAGUAUCAGUUUCCUUUCCUUCACACAAUUCCAAGGCAGACAGUCCCCACUCC